rnacentral:rRNA from 1 species
GAGUUUGAUCCUGGCUCAGGACGAACGCUGGCGGCAGGCUUAACACAUGCAAGUCGAGCGCCCUGCUUGCAGGGAGCGGCAGACGGGUGAGUAACGCAUGGGAACGUGCCCUUCGGUACGGAAUAGCCCCGGGAAACUGGGUGUAAUACCGUAUACGACCUCCGGGUGAAAGAUUUAUCGCCGAAGGAUCGGCCCGCGUUAGAUUAGCUAGUUGGUGGGGUAAAGGCCUACCAAGGCGACGAUCUAUAGCUGUUCUGAGAGGAAGAUCAGCCACACUGGGACUGAGACACGGCCCAGACUCCUACGGGAGGCAGCAGUGGGGAAUAUUGGACAAUGGGGGAAACCCUGAUCCAGCCAUGCCGCGUGGAUGAAGAAGGCCCUAGGGUUGUAAAGUCCUUUCGCUAGGGAAGAUAAUGACGGUACCUAGUAAAGAAGCCCCGGCUAAUUUCGUGCCAGCAGCCGCGGUAAUACGAAAGGGGCUAGCGUUGUUCGGAAUUACUGGGCGUAAAG